GCCGGGUUAGCCAAGUGGUCAAAGGCGACAGACUCAAGAUCUGUUCCCGCAGGGGUUCGCAGGUUCAAGUCCUGCACCCGGCA
rnacentral:tRNA from 1 species